GGCCAGCCUAGUCCGACGUGACAAACAGCGGACUUCCCACCCGCCUGGUUGGCCGGCUACUUCAAAAAG
rnacentral:sRNA from 1 species